GUGCUCAGUGCACAGUAAAAAUAAUCUUUAUUAAAGUAAAUGUUUCCUGAUUUUCUUCUGUAAGUUUUUUUUCUUCUUAACUUUUCAGGUUUUUGAUUUAUGUUUUCUAACCAUAAUCAUGUCUUCAACUCCAACUUGUUAGAAAAUGAGAAACCUUGAAGUUGUUUCAGGUUUCUGAGCCUUCAUCAGCUGUUUGUAUGACGCUACUUUCAUUUCCUAAUGAUAAAUCCAACAUUGUUCCUGCUGUUCAGACCUUCCCUGCCUGGGGCCCCUGAAGCUUAAGGCCCAACAUCUCAGAGCAAAUUUUAUUGAUGACAGUGACCUGAGACAGUAGCUGUUGGUUGGAGCCAGACCUGCUGCAGUAAGGCCUCCAUCCACUAGGGGCGCUUUAGAUUAUUGGUGACCCUCAUCUGAGUUUGGUGUGAGUCUGCAGGGAUGUGCGUCCCAUGGGAAGGACAGGAGAACAAAGUAUGCCUGAAGAAACACUUUGUUUUGUUCAUCCCUGAAAAAAACUCUUGUUAAAGAUAAUAAACUCCUUUAUUGUGGCAUAGUGGUGAUGUAACAAUAGGAACUAUUGUAUAUGAAUGUUGCACACGGACGUGUUACUGUGUCGGAAUUACCCGACAGCAGUUGAUAUCCUGACCGAGCUGUUUGUAGUUUUCCGAUAAUAAUGAAGUUCUGACACAUUUGGGUUAUUGUUCAACUACAUUGGGCUCUUUGAGCAAGAACAAGACAGGAAAUAACAAGAAUAAAACACGGUGGCAGCGGCGUGGACUCGGCCUGGAUCACAGUGAGUGUCGCCUAGCAUUAGCUUCGGCUAACGGGAAGAGUGACUACCACCACGUCGCUACAUGGAGGUCCUGAAGCCGCCACGGACAGUCAGUCUGGACUCCAGCAACACUGCAGAGACACGGAAGAGCUGGAGGGACGAAUCCCUGCUGGAUGUGGACUUAAUGUCUGGAGCAGACAUUAAUCUGGAGACUAGAUUAAGGAUGGAGACGUGUCUCUGGUUCUGAAGAACGUCUCUACUGAUGACAGAGGAACAUAUGAGCGUCUAGUCAUCCAGACGGAAAUAAACCACAACAGGCAGACGGUUCUCUACAUAAACCUGGAUGUAGUUCCUCCUCCAGACCCAACAAACAUCACAGCAGAACCUGGACAGAACGUCAUUCUGCCAUGUAGAACUCCUGACAGCAAACCUGUUGUUGCUGUAGAGUGGAGCAGAACUGAUCUGGGGUCAGAAUAUGUUCUUCUCUACAGAAAUAACCAGUUUGAUCUAGAAAACCAACAUCCAUCCUUUAAGAACAGGGUGGAUCUGCAGGAGGGAAAGAUUAAGACAGGAGACGUGUCCCUGGUUCUGAAGAACGUCUCUACUGAUGACAGAGGAACAUAUGAGUGUCUAGUUAUCCAGACGGAAACAACCAACAGGAGGCAGACGGUUCUCUACAUAAACCUGGAUGUAGUUCCUCCUCCAGGGGAGCCUGAUGACGGCAAAGAAGAUGGAUCUGUUGGAUGGAGGGUUAAACUGGGGAUUGGAGUGUUGUGCUGUCUGUUGUUGGUAGCUGCCAUAGUUUUUGCUAUUUAUUUUAAAUGUAAAAAGAAAUCAAAUUCAAACCGACCUCCUGAACAAACAGCUGAACCUGAAGCUUCAAUGCCUCUAAACUCAUCAGCUUAGUUCAGUCCAGUUUGAAAGUGAAGUUCUGCAGAACCACAGCAACAAACCUUCCUAAACGACACUCUGCUGAUGAUGAGACACAUUUCAGAGCCUUACUGAGGACCAUCCUCCUCCUCCUCCUCCUCCUCCUCCUCAACCUGCAGCAUCAAACCUGAACUCUUCCAUCAAGCGUUUCUGUCCUCCAGCAGAACCUCAGCUGGUCCAGAUCUGCUCUAAAAGCCGUUCCAGGCUGGACUUGUUGCCUCGUUAUUCUGUAAAGCUUUAGACUGAAUGUCAGGAUCCUGUUACAGUAUUGUUACUUUUAGAAGUUUCUGUAUUUAAACCUUCAAAUGUGUCCUGAUGUCAUCUUCAUCAUCACUGAACACAUCUGCCUGAUGGGUCUGAUGCCUUAUUUCACUCUGCAGAACCGCUGCAGCUCACUGUGCAGCUCUAGUUGCCUUCAGCAGCAGCUAACUGGUUAUUAUCUGACUUCAUGCUGAGGAGAACUUCAGGUCUCAGGGCCGACCCGCUGGUUCCUCUGGUUCUCCUGGUAAUGGAUCAAAUGGCUGCUUUAUUCUCUGUUAAUGUUGUUUUAACAGAAACGUCUCAUUCAGGUUGUUAAACGUUACGCUUGCCUUAAAAUUGAUUCAAUUGUUAUUUAUGAA